rnacentral:lncRNA from 1 species
GAAAGAUCCAAUUGACAGGUCAAAAGAGGAGGUCUGUGGAAGUGGCCCUCCUCCUCCUGUCUCAGCCUCCCCAGUGCUGGGAUUAUAGAUGUGUGCCACCACUCCCUGCUUAUUGGCUGGUCCUACUUGGUACAGGGCCAGGAGAGCAGCCAACGUCCUCCUUUUCUCUUCACCCCUUGGCAUCUGGACCCAGGAAUGGACCCUUUCUUCUUUUCCCCAGGCCCCUCCCCUGGUUUCCUGUCUUGUGGUCCAAUGUGGCUGUUCUUGCUCCCGCCAUCACAUCCACAUUCCAGCCAAGGGAGAAGGGCGCACCCUGAAAGUGGCAAGCCUCACUCUGCUCAUGUCCAGUUGUACAGAACUGAGCCACAUGGCCGCAGCCAGCUGCAGGAAAAGCUGGGAAAAGCCCCGCUGUUCUGGGAAGGGUGAAGUCAGCCC